GACAGAGGUCUCGAGCGUUAGGCGGAAUCACUGGGCUUAAAGCGUGUGUAGGCGGACUUGUAAGUACCUUGUGAAAUCCCACGGCUCAACCGUGGAAGUGCACUCGAAACUGCAUAGCUAGAGUCCUGGAGAGGAAGGUGGAAUGCUUGGUGUAGAGGUGAAAUUCGUAGAUAUCAAGCGGAACACCGGUGGCGAAGGCGGCCUUCUGGACAGUGACUGACGCUGAGACGCGAAAGCGUGGGGAGCAAACAGG
rnacentral:rRNA from 1 species